ensembl:antisense Gm38287 predicted gene, 38287
UUUUUUUUUAAUAUAAAAAGACCAAUGAAAAAUUUAUUUAUAAAUUUUUCACGAUGGGCUACAAGUCUAUAUCGUACGCUUAGGAGUGUGCCACAGACUUCAUACAGAUAGAAGAGACCAACCAGGACCCAUCUGAAGCUUCAACAUAGGCCCAGUACGUUUUAACAUUAAUUAACAUAAUUAAAAAGGCAUUUGCGUGUAGAAAAACCAUACAGAACUCCUUUUGAAGUAAUCUGUGCUUGUCUCAGUGUCUGCCAUUCUCAUGACAUUAUCACUAUUCCUCCCACACUGGUUCAUAAAAGCGCAGAAGACCGAAGAAUAUGGCCAGGCGGCACAAAGGGCUCCACCCACCUGUGUCCUCAAGUGCUCCCCAUUUUUGCACGCAGGGUCAGCAGCACUUCUACGAAGGGGAAACCUCAUUUAAAUUUGAAUAAUUCAGCCUCCCUUUUAUUUCCCAGGAUCAAAACAAGAAGGGGAAUGGAGAUGCAUAGAAAAUUGGAACCACAGAAACCAGGAAGUCUCCUUUCUGGGACAGCCAGUGACGCUCCAGCACCUCCUCCAGCCCUGGUCCUUGGCACAGCCCCUCCCUCAUGGCUGGAUCCUCAGAUCAUAAUAGGGCCUUGGAGCAGGGUUUGAGGGUGGGGAUGGGGAUUGGGGAAGGCAGAAAGAGCACAGCAGCCCUUCCACUCAUUCAGCAAUAGUAUGAGAGAUUCACAGUCUUUAUAGGAAUUUUAUAAAAAUAUAAAUAUGGGUACACAACAGCCUUCACAACGCUGGAUACAACGCCCUUUAAAAUUGGGUUCAUAACCAAGAUUCAAAAAAAUACACCUAAAACUUGGCUUAAAAUAUGUUAAUAUUUUAUAUUCUGUCAUAAAUGUUAUGACAUUUAAUCGUGGCAAAUUCAUUUACUUUUUUAAAAAAGUGUGCAACCGACUAUUAACUAUAAUAGAAGUCACUAGGAAGGGUACCAUGCUCUCAGAAUCCCCACGUCCCAGCCACGCGGGCUUCAAGAGCCCUUUGGAACUUUGCUAAACCAGCCUGUGUGGGGAAUGGUGGCCUCUCACGGGAGGGGAAAGGGAGACAGAUCCUAGGCUCUCUAAACUCAGAAUCCAGGGAGAGGAAAAGAGGAAUGAGGUGUGGAAGAUUAGGGACUCGGUGGGGGAGGGGCUAGCAAUGGGAAAACCAUAGGGCUAGGCGGUAUUUUCAGUGCAACCAAAAAAUGGUAGACUCAAGUUUUUAGUUUUAAAGGAAAAAAAAUGCAUCUUUCUCCCAUAACCACGCACAAUAUUUCCAAACAAAAAACUCAGGCGCACAAACUUCACCCACAAAUAUACACACACGUGAUAAAUAGUUGAGGACAUCAGGAACCCGGAGCGUCCCCUUCCCUUCCUAAGUGCGAGGGCGCGCAGAUGGUGGAGCCCGGUAAUGGUUGUUUGGCGGCUGCCAGCGGCGGGCGCCGCACUGUGAGCGGCCGGGUCUCACGAGCGGCGGAUGUCGGCUCCGAACUUGACCAACAGCUUCACCAGCUCCAGGUUGCCGUCGAUGACUGACUGGUGUAGUGCUGUCUGGCCCUCCGGCCCGAACGAGUUCACGUUGAAUUCGCAGUUAGUCAUGUUCUGCAGCAGCGACUGCAGCUCCUGCGUGUUGCCCUUGCGCACCGCUUCCUGGAAGAUGCGCUGCGUCUGUGGCGCCGAGCAGGUGGACAGCUCGGCUUGGCUCAUGUUGCCGCAGAGCUAGGGCUGCGAGCCGCGCCCCGGCUUAGCGCGGGCGGCGGCUGCAGUGCGGGCCCCGGGCUGUCUCGGGGCGUGUCUCGAGGUACGCCUCGGCGCAUGGAGGGCGCUGCGCCCUCGGGCCCCGCACGCCGCCCCUGCGCACUCCGGGCGUUCGGGGCCGAGGGCCGCUGGCGCGGGACCCCUGCUGCAUCCAGCCGCGCCCAAGCGGGCGGGCGACAGGGCUGGGUGCUGGUUCGCAGAACCUGGGGCAGCCGGAGGCCGCGACACUCGCAGUCGUGGUCCCUUCGAGGUUAGGCUUCGCUCCAGCUGAACUCCACC